rnacentral:lncRNA from 1 species
CCCUGAGAGAGAAGUCCUCCCUAUCUGUUCCAGUUAACUCCUGCACUAGUGAUCUUUGCUUUCCACUGUGGAUGAACAGACCGAUCCAGGUGAAACCAGCGGACAGCGAAAGCCGAGGAGGCUCUCUGCUGAGAUGAAGGAGGUAUUUUAAUCCCCUGGGAGCAGAGCUAUCAAAUUGGUUGGAUGGCUCCCUCUGUCACAAACAGAAUAUUUUAUGCAAUGUACCCACACUCUGACCAGUUAUUUUUGUAGCCUGCCUGCCAGUCCUACAAAGCCAGAAGCCCAGUGGACCUAGGAGGAAAAACCUUCACUCAGCAGUGUAUUUGCUGCCCUCUCCCUCCUUGCAAC